rnacentral:rRNA from 1 species
CCUACGGGAGGCAGCAGUGGGGAAUAUUGCGCAAUGGGCGAAAGCCUGACGCAGCGACGCCGCGUGAGGGAUGAAGGUCUUCGGAUCGUAAACCUCUUUCAGCAGGGAAGAACGGUCACUGUGCUAAUCAGCAGUGCAUUGACCGUACCUGCAAAGGAAGCACCGGCUAACUCCGUGCCAGCAGCCGCUGUAAUACGGAGGGUGCGAGCGUUAAUCGGAAUUACUGGGCGUAAAGCGCGCGUAGGCGGUAUGUCAAGUCAAGGGUGAAAUCCCCGCGCUCAACGUGGGAACUGCCUUUGAAACUGGCAAACUGGAGUGUGUGAGAGGAUAGUGGAAUUCCAGGUGUAGGAGUGAAAUCCGUAGAUAUCUGGAGGAACAUCAGGGGCGAAGGCGACUAUCUGGCACAUAACUGACGCUGAGGAGCGAAAGCGUGGGUAGCAAACAGGAUUAGAUACCCUUGUAGUC